rnacentral:rRNA from 1 species
ACUGAACGCUGGCGGCAGGCCUAACACAUGCAAGUCGAGCGGGGUUUUCGGACCUAGCGGCGGACGGGUGAGUAAUGCGUAGGAAGCUGCCCGAUAGAGGGGGAUACCAGUUGGAAACGACUGUUAAUACCGCAUAAUGUCUACGGACCAAAGUGUGGGACCUUCGGGCCACAUGCUAUCGGAUGCGCCUACGUGGGAUUAGCUAGUUGGUGAGGUAAUGGCUCACCAAGGCGACGAUCUCUAGCUGGUUUGAGAGGAUGAUCAGCCACACUGGAACUGAGACACGGUCCAGACUCCUACGGGAGGCAGCAGUGGGGAAUAUUGGACAAUGGGCGCAGGCCUGAUCCAGCCAUGCCGCGUGUGUGAAGAAGGCCUUCGGGUUGUAAAGCACUUUCAGCGAGGAGGAAGGGUGGUGUGUUAAUAGCACAUCAUUUUGACGUUACUCGCAGAAGAAGCACCGGCUAACUCUGUGCCAGCAGCCGCCGUAACAC